rnacentral:lncRNA from 1 species
AUCCAUCCACCGAAUCCCCCAGCCGCCGCCCGACAACCUUCCUCUUUUUCCUCGCGCAGCCAGUCAACUCCCUGCUUUCUUCCUUGGGAUCCUCCCAGAUCCAAAAAUCCCUUCCUCGUUUUCAGAUCCACCCAAUCCCUCCAUCGAUCCAACCAUAGCCCUCCGCUGCUCUGCUUCCCCUCGAUCCACCCGAGCUCCUCCUCUUGCGCCUCUGUGCUCGAUCCCCCUCGUCCUCGCCACUCCUUCGCAUGCGGCAAGCCGCCGCAGCACCAGAGCUCCCUCCGCCGUCGAGCACCACUAGCAGAUUAGCCUCGCGCCGCCCUUCCUCCCUUUCCCUCGCUCUUAUCUCUCCCUCACAUCUGGCUCCCUCUCUUUUUCCCUCGCAGAAGCCCGCCAUGGCGUACAGGAGGCUUCAGGCACCAGCAGCUCCAGUUCCGCGUCGGCUCCACCAUGGGAAUGGAUGGAUACGUCGUCUUUGACCUGAGGACCUCCUCAUACGUGCCUCUCCAUCAUCAUCUCCGCCACCAGAACGCACGGUAGCAACCUCCUGCCAUCGUCCGUCCUCACCGGUUUGAGCAGCCGGCGCAUCCGCCAUCGCUCGCUCGCUCUGCCGCCUACCGGAGCUCGCCUCCACCGACAGCAGCACCUCCCUUCGCCAAGUGCCGCCGUGACCCCGUCAUUUUCCAUCCCUGCCGAACCUGCUGUCGUCCCUGCCGCCAAGCUCUUCGCUUGCAGGGACGCACGGCGCGCCCGUUGACUGCUUGCUGGUCGGCACCCUCCUUCGCGCGUAGCACCGCGCCAGACGCUGAUCGCCUCUGCCCGGUUCCCCGCCACCAAGUCCAGCUCAGUGCCGCCGCGAGCCACCUUCUUCCUUGGAUCCUCGCCGCCCCAUCGCCCUGUUCGCCUCCUCUGCUUCGUUCGAGCAGGGAGGACGACGCAUGCUCCCUUCAUUGACCGCUUCCACUCCAGGAGCUGGGCCACCUCCCCUCGGCUCGUUGACCGACUUCCCAGAUCCGCGCCUGGGCCGCUUCUUGCAGCGAGGCCAAGAUCGACCGCGGCCCAGCCAGCGCCCUGCCGGCCCAGCCUCCCCUCCAGCCGCGGUGCUUCUGGCCUAUUGGGCCCAAUGUGAGCAGCACAACAGUUUCAGCUCACUCUUGUUUUUUUCCUCCAGCAUUUUUGCUAAUAACCAGUGUAUUACCGGUUUUUACAGAAAAACCCCUAGUCUUCAUGCAUAUAAUAACUUAUGAAUAAUGCUUCAUAUGUAAUAACCUUAUAUUUGAAACUUGACUAGAAUUUCAUCUAGUUUCAUAAUAUGUCAUUUCCAUCCAUGUUUAAAAUGCUUAAAAUGUUGUUUGUUAAAUUUGCUCAAAUAACUUGUUAAAAUGUUUUAAUUCAUAACUAAAUAGCCGUAUCUCGGUUUCUAAUAAAUUUUAUAUGUAAAUGGGGUGGGAAAAUGCCUAGUUUAUCAUGGUGUAUUUGUUUUGCAUGUUUAACAACCCUAAAAUUGUGUUUAGAACAGAUCAGUACCAAAUCUAUAAUAUGCUCAUGAGGAGUUUCCGGACUUGUUGUUCGUUGUUUCCGGCCUCAUUUAAACUUGCCUAGAUAGGUAGUUUUGUUGUGCUUCACCUCUUGCCAUGCUAACAACAUUUAAUCUUGUUGGCUACCUAAACGAGAGAGAACUAAAUAAGUCAUGUGGUGUUUUCUUCAAUAUGCAACUCCGUUGCAUAUUGAGCUUGACUUAAUUUGUAGGGUUGCUUGUGCACCUUGCCAUGCCAUGCUUCAUUAAACCGGACAUGCAUCAUACUUGAUUGUGCAUCAUGCCAUGUUUAUGUGGUGGCUGUUUACCAUGAUUGUUUGCUUCUUUCCGGUGUUGCUUCUUCAGGUUGGUUCCGAUAACGUCACAUUUGUGAGGACCCUUUUGACUACGUCCGUUUGUCUUCUUCAUGGACUCAUUCUUCUUCCUAUCGGGAUUUCAGGCAAGAUGAUCAUACCCUCGAAAUCACUUCUAUCUUUGCUUGCUAGAUGCUCGCUCUUUUGCUAUGCCUAUGCUGCGAUACCUACCACUUUCUUAUCAUGCCUCCUAUAUUUUUGAACCAAGCCCCUAAACCACCUUGUCCUAGCAAACCGUUGAUUGGCUAUGUUACCGCUUUGCUCAGCCCCCCUUAUAGCAUUGUUAGUUGCAGGUGAAGAUUGAAGUUUUGUUCCUUGUUGGAACAUGUUUUACUUGUUGGGAUAUCACAAUAUAUCUUAUUUAAUUAAUGCAUCUAUAUACUUGGUAAAGGGUGGAAGGCUCGGCCUUAUGCCUGGUGUUUUGUUCCACUCUUGCCGCCCUAGUUUCCGUCAUAUCACUGUUAUGUUCCCGGAUUUUGUGUUCCUUACGCGGUUGGGUAAUAAUGGGAACCCCUUGACAGUUCGCCCUGAAUAAAACUCUUCCAGCAAUGCCCAACAUUGGUUUUACCAUUCGCCACCUAGCCUUUUCCUUUCCCUUGGGGGUCACGCGCCCAAGGGUCAUCAUUAUUUUAACCCCCCGGGACAGUGCUCCUCUGAGUGUUGGUCCAAAACAGAGCCACUUGCAGCGCCACCUCGGGGCAACUCGAGGUUUGGUUUUAGUUGUACGUAGUGUUCAUCCGGUGUGCCCCGAGAACGAGAUAUGUGCAGCUCCUAUCGGGAUUUGUCGGCACAUUCGGGCGGUGUUGCUGAACUUGUUUUACCAUUGUCGAAAUGUCUUGUAACUGGGAUUCCGAGUCUGAUCGGGUCUUCCCGCUAGAAGGAAUAUCCUUCGUUGACCGUGAGAGCUUGUGAUGGGCUAAGUUGGGACACCCCUGCAGGGUUUUGAACUUUCGAAAGCCAUGCCCGCGGUUAUGGGCAGAUGGGAAUUUGUUAACGUCCGGUUGUAGAAAAACGGAAGUUGACCUUAAUUAAAAAUGCAUCAACCGUGUGUGUAACCGUGAUGGUCUCUUUCCGGCGGAGUCCGGGAAGUGAACACGGUGUUGGAGUAAUGCUUGAUGUAGGUUGUUCUAGGAUCACUUCUUGAUCAUAGUUUCUCGAUCGUGCUUUGCCUUCUCUUCUCGCUCUCUUUUGCGAAUAGGUUAGCCACCAUAGAUGCUAGUCGCUUACUGCAGCUCCACCUCAUACCUUUACCUUACCUAUAAGCUUAAAUAAUCUUGAUCAUGAGGGUGCGAGAUUGCUGAGUCCCCGUGGCUCACAGAUUACUUCAAAAACCAGUUUGCAGGUGCCGAUGAGUCCGUGCAGAUGACACAACCAAGCUCAAGGAGGAGCUCGAUGAAGAUCUUGUCCUUUGUGUUGUUUCGUUCUAGUUGAUCAGUAGUGGAGCCCAGUUGGGGUCGAUUGGGGACCUUGUCGCGUUUGGGGUUCUUCUUUUAUGUUGGUUCCGUUGUCGGACCUUGAUUGUAUUUGAUUGUUGUAAUGCUUUAUUCAUGAAAUUGUGUGAAGUGGCGAUUGUAAGCCAACUAUGUAUCUUUUCCCUUAUUGUAUUACAUGGGUUGUUUGCGAAGAUUACCUCACUUGCAGCAUUGCUUUCAAUGUGGUUAUGCCUCUAAGUCGUGCUUCAACACGUGGGAGAUAUAGCCGCAUCGAGGGUGUUACAAGUUGCUAUCAGAGCCUUCCCCGACCUUAGGAGCCCCAUUGCUUGAUCAUUAUUAGCAGCCGUUGUUGAGUCUAGAAAUUUUUUUUUGAGUCAUUUAGGAAUUAUAUAUCAGAGAGUUUAGGAAUUCUUUUUACUCCCCAGUCCCUUCAUCGCUCUGGUAAGGCAUCCCGACGUAGAGUUUUAUCUCUUCUCUUCUGAAAUUUCACUAUUUUUUUAGGAUCACGCGGGUAUCUUAGAA